rnacentral:rRNA from 1 species
UACAGAGGGUGCAAGCGUUAAUCGGAAUUACUGGGCGUAAAGGGUGCGUAGGUGGUUAUAUCAGUCAAAUGUGAAAGGCUUGGGCUUAACCUGAGAACUGCGUUUGAUACUGUAUAGCUAGAGUAUUGUAGAGGAAAGUGGAAUUUCCGGUGUAGCGGUGAAAUGCGUAGAUAUCGAUAGGAACUCCGGUGGCGAAGGCGGCAUACUGGACCACCACUGACGCUGAUGCGCGAAAGCCAGGGGAGCAAACGGG